GCCCAGACUCCUACGGGAGGCAGCAGUGGGGGAUAUUGCACAAUGGGGGGAACCCUGAUGCAGCGACGCCGCGUGGGUGAAGGAGCGUUUCGGCGCGUAAAGCCCUAUCGGCAGGGGAGAAGGAGGACGGUACCUGACUAAGAAGCCCCGGCUAACUACGUGCCAGCAGCCGCGGUAAAACGUAGGGUGCAAGCGUUGUCCGGAAUUACUGGGUGUAAAGGGAGCGCAGGCGGAUUGACAAGUUGGGAGUGAAAACUACGGGCUCAACCCGUAGCCUGCUUUCAAAACUGUCAGUCUUGAGUGGUGUAGAGGUAGGCGGAAUUCCCGGUGUAGCGGUGGAAUGCGUAGAUAUCGGGAGGAACACCAGUGGCGAAGGCGGCUUGCUGGACGAUGACUGACGUUGAGGCUCGAAAGCGUGGGGAGCAAACAGGAUUAGAUCCCCCGGUA
rnacentral:rRNA from 1 species